rnacentral:rRNA from 1 species
UACGGGGGGAGCAAGCGUUGUUCGGAUUUACUGGGCGUAAAGGGCGCGUAGGCGGCAUGGCAAGUCAGGAGUGAAAGGCCUGGGCUCAACCGAGGAACUGCUUUUGAUACUGCCAAGCUAGAGUGCGGAAGGGGCAACUGGAAUUCCCAGUGUAGCGGUGGAAUGCGCAGAUAUCAGGAGGAACACCGGUGGCGAAGGCGCCACUCUGGGCCGGUACUGACGCUGAGGAGCGAAAGCGUGGGGAGCGAACAGG